CGGCGUGCCUAAUACAUGCAAGUCGAACGGUCUUUUCUAUGGAAGCUUGCUUCCACUGAGAGGAUAGUGGCGAACGGGUGAGUAACACGUGGGUAACCUGCCCAUAAGAGGGGGAUAACAUCCGGAAACGGGUGCUAAUACCGCAUAGUUUUCUUGAUCGCAUGAUUGAGAAAGGAAAGACGGCCUUUGUGCUGUCGCUUAUGGAUGGACCCGCGGCGUAUUAGUUAGUUGGUGAGGUAACGGCUCACCAAGACGAUGAUACGUAGCCGACCUGAGAGGGUGAUCGGCCACAUUGGGACUGAGACACGGCCCAAACUCCUACGGGAGGCAGCAGUAGGGAAUCUUCCGCAAUGGACGAAAGUCUGACGGAGCAACGCCGCGUGAGUGAAGAAAGGUUUUCGGAUCGUAAAACUCUGUUGUCAGAGAAGAACAAGUUGGAGAGUAACUGCUCCAGCCUUGACGGUAUCUGACCAGAAAGCCACGGCUAACUACGUGCCAGCAGCGGC
rnacentral:rRNA from 1 species